rnacentral:lncRNA from 1 species
CCGCUGAGGACCGCACAGGGGAGCGGGCGGCGGCAUCGCGAGGACUGACCACUGGGUGGCACUGUUGCUCCAUGGAGAGCUGCCAACGGCGUCCCCGGGGACCCGGCCACGUUGAGCACAAAAGGCAGAGGAGCCUGGCAACCAUGUCCCAAGUUGGAAGGAAGCUCUGAGAACCCUGCUCCCCAGAAAUCCUGAGCAAAGGCUGGCUGGCCUACAGGAGCAGUCUAGAGUAAGAGCUGUUUCCUGGCAGAGGAUCAAGUAUCCAGGUCACAUUGAAGAGACAUGUGAGGACUCCAAUGGAGAACAAUUUGAGAGUGAGAAACCAGUUCUGGAGGCCAGGAAGUUCAAGAUCAAGGUGUUGGCAAGUUCAGUGUCUGCUGAGGACCUGAUCUCUCUUCUUUCAAGAUGGCAUCUUGUUGCUCUUCCCUCCAGAGAGUAGAAAUGCUGGAACCUCACAUGGAGGAAAAAAUGAAAAGGACCAAUUGAUGCCUGGGACCCAGCUGAGAUCUCCAUCAUCUCUCAAAACAACUGUGCACUGACCUCCUGACCUAAGCCCAGCCUCUGCCCACUCAGACUGACCUUCACGCAGCUGCACAAUGCUGCAUUUGGAAGCCGGACCUGACCACAUUCGUUUCCCUCUAGAUUCAUGUUCUGGAGAAAUGAAAAUGCUGUCUCAGUGGAAUGUUGAUUAGCUGGAGUGGAGACCCAAGAUCUCUGUCCAGGCAGGGCCAUCAACUAGAGGUGGCCCUGUGAUUGAUGAGUGACCAGCCAUGUGUGGAGAAAAGCAAUGUGAACAACUUCUGACUUCGCUGUUAAAGAAAAUUGGUCUGUCCCCCAUUUCCUUGCAUUCCCAUUCUUACUGGCUGAAAUUCAAAGCUGAUAAAUGGAGCUAGAGCAGAUAGCUGGGAAAAUGAGUUGAGGGUCUUACAUUAAGACUUGCCAGCAAGAAGAAGAAUUUUUCCAGGGUUCCUGACACCGCCAAAUUGUUCGAUCAGCUCUGAACUCUAUACUGAGAUUCUUUAAGUAUGAGAGACAUGAACUUUGACUGGCUUAAGUGAGCUAUUGAGGUCUCUUUGCUAUUGUGACCUAACUCAGGGGUCAGCAAAUAACACUCUGUGCGCAAAAUCUGACUACGAUCUGUUUUUGUAACUAAAUAAAAUUUCACUGAAACACA